UGGUGCAUGACAUAAAUGUCAUGCAAGUGGUGUGUGUGAAAUGGAAUUCAUCUUUACACACCCAUCACCAUUUCUUACACCAUUUAAACAAAUAUCUAACACAUUAAAUCAUUUGAAAAACAUAAAACAUAAACUUUAUGAAAUAAAUCAAAACUUUGAAUCAAAACACAAAACCUUUUUGUUCUUGGCAAAAAUGUCAAGAACAAUGAAGAACAUUCAUGAAAAACCCAAAAAAUUUCCAUGAACAUUUUCACUCCAAAAAACAUCCCAAAACCAUUCAAACUUUAGGGAAAUAACAUAUAACCAAACUAGGGUACAUAGGGGUUCCAAAAG
rnacentral:lncRNA from 1 species